rnacentral:rRNA from 1 species
GACGAACGCUGGCGGCGUGCUUAACACAUGCAAGUCGAACGGAAAGCCUCUUCGGAGGUACUCGAGUGGCGAACGGGUGAGUAACACGUGGGCAAUCUGCCCUGCACUUCGGGAUAAGCCUGGGAAACUGGGUCUAAUACCGGAUAGGACCUCAAGACGCAUGUCUUCUGGUGGAAAGCUUUUGCGGUGUGGGAUGGGCCCGCGGCCUAUCAGCUUGUUGGUGGGGUGACGGCCUACCAAGGCGACGACGGGUAGCCGGCCUGAGAGGGUGUCCGGCCACACUGGGACUGAGAUACGGCCCAGACUCCUACGGGAGGCAGCAGUGGGGAAUAUUGCACAAUGGGCGCAAGCCUGAUGCAGCGACGCCGCGUGGGGGAUGACGGCCUUCGGGUUGUAAACCUCUUUCACCAUCGACGAAGGUCCGGGUUUUCUCGGAUUGACGGUAGGUGGAGAAGAAGCACCGGCCAACUACGUGCCAGCAGCCGCGGUAAUACGUAGGGUGCGAGCGUUGUCCGGAAUUACUGGGCGUAAAGAGCUCGUAGGUGGUUUGUCGCAUUGUUCGUGAAAUCUCACGGCUUAACUGUGAGCGUGCGGGCGAUACGGGCAGACUAGAGUACUGCAGGGGAGACUGGAAUUCCUGGUGUAGCGGUGGAAUGCGCAGAUAUCAGGAGGAACACCGGUGGCGAAGGCGGGUCUCUGGGCAGUAACUGACGCUGAGGAGCGAAAGCGUGGGGAGCGAACAGGAUUAGAUACCCUGGUAGUCCACGCCGUAAACGGUGGGUACUAGGUGUGGGUUUCCUUCCUUGGGAUCCGUGCCGUAGCUAACGCAUUAAGUACCCCGCCUGGGGAGUACGGCCGCAAGGCUAAAACUCAAAGGAAUUGACGGGGGCCCGCACAAGCGGCGGAGCAUGUGGAUUAAUUCGAUGCAACGCGAAGAACCUUACCUGGGUUUGACAUGCACAGGACGCGUCUAGAGAUAGGCGUUCCCUUGUGGCCUGUGUGCAGGUGGUGCAUGGCUGUCGUCAGCUCGUGUCGUGAGAUGUUGGGUUAAGUCCCGCAACGAGCGCAACCCUUGUCUCAUGUUGCCAGCGGGUAAUGCCGGGGACUCGUGAGAGACUGCCGGGGUCAACUCGGAGGAAGGUGGGGAUGACGUCAAGUCAUCAUGCCCCUUAUGUCCAGGGCUUCACACAUGCUACAAUGGCCGGUACAAAGGGCUGCGAUGCCGUAAGGUUAAGCGAAUCCUUUUAAAGCCGGUCUCAGUUCGGAUUGGGGUCUGCAACUCGACCCCAUGAAGUCGGAGUCGCUAGUAAUCGCAGAUCAGCAACGCUGCGGUGAAUACGUUCCCGGGCCU